rnacentral:rRNA from 1 species
UACGAAGGGGGCGAGCGUUGUUCGGAUUUACUGGGCGUAAAGGGCGCGCAGGCGGCAGACCAAGUCAGGCGUGAAGGCCCCGGGCUUAACCUGGGAACUGCGUCCGAUACUGGCAGGCUUGAAUCCGGGAGAGGGAUGCGGAAUUCCAGGUGUAGCGGUGAAAUGCGUAGAUAUCUGGAGGAACACCGGUGGCGAAGGCGGCAUCCUGGACCGGUAUUGACGCUGAGGCGCGAAAGCCAGGGGAGCAAACGGG